rnacentral:rRNA from 1 species
UACGUAGGGGACUAGCGUUGUCCGGAUUUAUUGGGCGUAAAGAGCGUGUAGGCGGCCAGAUAGGUCGGUUGUGAAAACUGGAGGCUUAACCUCCAGCCGUCGACCGAAACCAUUUGGCUAGAGUCCGGAAGAGGAGAGUGGAAUUCCUGGUGUAGCGGUGAAAUGCGCAGAUAUCAGGAAGAACACCCGUGGCGAAGGCGGCUCUCUGGGACGGUACUGACGCUGAGACGCGAAAGCGUGGGGAGCGAACAGG